UACAGAGGUCUCAAGCGUUGUUCGGAUUCAUUGGGCGUAAAGGGUGCGUAGGUGGCGCCAUAAGUCAGGUGUGAAAUCUCGGGGCUCAACCCCGAAACUGCACUUGAUACUGUGGUGCUCGAGUACUGGAGAGGAGAUUGGAAUUUACGGUGUAGCAGUGAAAUGCGUAGAUAUCGUAAGGAAGACCAGUGGCGAAGGCGAAUCUCUGGACAGUUACUGAGACUGAGGCACGAAGGCCAGGGGAGCA
rnacentral:rRNA from 1 species